rnacentral:sRNA from 1 species
GCUGGGCGUGGUGGCUCAUGCCUGUAAUCCUAGCACUUUGGGAGGCCGAGGUGGGUGGAUCACCUGAGGUCAGGAGUUUGAGACCAGCCUGGCCAACACGGUGAAACCCCAUCUCUA